rnacentral:rRNA from 1 species
UACGUAGGGUGCAGGCGUUAAUCGGAAUUACUGGGCGUAAAGCGUGCGCAGGCGGUUUCUUAAGUCAGAUGUGAAAGCCCCGGGCUUAACCUGGGAACUGCGUUUGAAACUGGGAGACUUGAGUGUGGCAGAGGGGGGUGGAAUUCCACGUGUAGCAGUGAAAUGCGUAGAUAUGUGGAGGAACACCGGUGGCGAAGGCGGCAUCCUGGACCGAGAUUGACGCUGAGGCGCGAAAGCCAGGGGAGCAAACGGG